rnacentral:rRNA from 1 species
GAUGAACGCUGGCGGCGUGCCUAACACAUGCAAGUCGAGCGAACGGACGAGGAUCUUGCUGCUCUGAUGUUAGCGGCGGACGGGUGAGUAACACGUGGAUAACCUACCUAUAAGACUGGGAUAACUUCGGGAAACCGGAGUUAAUACCGGAUAAUAUUUUGAACCGCAUGGUUUAGAAGUGAAAGACGGUCUUGCUGUCACUUAUAGAUGGAUCCGCGCUGCAUUAGCUAGUUGGUAAGGUAACGGCUUACCAAGGCAACGAUGCGUAGCCGACCUGAGAGGGUGAUCGGCCACACUGGAGCUGAGACGCGGUCCAGACUACUACGGGAGGCAGCAGUAGGGAAUCUUCCGCAAUGGGCGAAAGCCUGACGGAGCAGCGCCGCGUGAGUGGUGAAGGUGUUCGGAUCGUGAAGCUCUGUUAUUGGGGGAGAACAUAUGUGUGAGUAGCUGUGCACAUCUUGACGGUACCUGAUCAGAAAGCCACGGCUAACUACGUG